rnacentral:lncRNA from 1 species
UGAACACAGAUGGCACAUAAGCACAGAGGACGUGGUGUGGGCUGUGGGUCCAGGGCAGAGAGGAAGGACGUUCCAGCCUCUGCAGAGCAACAGUCCUAGGUGAAGAACAGUGUGAUGCUGGGGAAGGCUCUAGAACGAAGGCAGCGAAGCCCUGCGUGUGUCAGAUCAUCCAAGUUUCUCGUGGACAUUGGAGGGGCGAGAUGAAUGGCCCACUGCACAGAGUCAGCCUGAAGGCCCACGAUGUUGGCACUGUUCCUCCGGCAUUCAGAGCAGCCCUGAAGCUCUGCCAAUCACACCU